CAGAUUUCAGCUUAGACGUUAUUCCCCAGGGAAGUCUUCCUGACCCUGCAAAUCAGGUGGUGCUCUAUUGAAUUCUAAUGCUGGAUGCUGUCAUGAAGAAGUCAGAGGCCAGCCUGGUGUGCCCGCCUUGCCAGAGUGGACUCCACUGUCUGCAAACAAGAAUACUGUGAAUAUGCCGACAAGCAAAUAAAUAUGCACACCGGGGAAACCAGGGGGUUUGCCCACGGUUCCCCAGUGGUGGAGCCAAGAUCCAAACCCAGGAGAGUGAGAAUCCAGAGCCAGCAUCUCCUCCUAGAUGCCACUGGAUCAGCGCCCCCUGCCUAGUGGGUUCAGUCCUACAGGGCUUGCUGGCCUCAGGUGACCAUCCAGUCUUCCAUCUUUCAUGUAGAAGAACACGAUUUCCUCUCCCCUUGUCAGGCGCACCGUUUGCAGGUGGCUGGGAAGGAAGCCUUUGCAUGUGGCACCCAGGCUCUUGAUCUCUUGCUGCGACUGCUGUACUAUCUUCCUGCCCUGAGGACUGCAAGGCGAUGGGAUUGUGUAUUUUUGUUAAUGUCAC